CUUUGGAUUUUUGCCUUUUUUUUGUAGGAAAAGGUCUAGGGAAAGAGGAAAGUGGGAUUUCUAAAGCAAUCAAAGUCAAUAUUAAAACUGAUACUGCUGGGGUUGGGUAUGAUGCCGGUGAUCAGUUUAGUUUUCAUUGGUGGGAUCAUGUCUUCAACAAAACAGCAAAGAGCAUAGUGGUACAGGAGAGUGGCGAUGGAGUAGAAGUAGUAAAGUCUGGUAAAGAAUCGUGUGUGAUCAGUAAUAAAAGACCAAGCAAGAAUUCUAACAAGCCACUGUUAUAUGGCAGAUUUG